GUGAAUGGUGGGGAGAUUGCAGAGAUGGUGAAAAACUUAAUGGGAGAUGUUAAUAUGAAGGUAAAUGCUAUGAAAGUGAGGGAACAAGCUUGGAAGGCUAAGGCAAUCGGAGGGAGCUCAGAGAAGAGGCUGAGGAAAUUCAUCGAAACAUUAACAGCAGAACAAAAAUGAUGUAUCUACACCAUUUCUCUUGAUCCUUUGCUUGUAAAAAUAAUUGUAACUGCAA
rnacentral:misc_RNA from 1 species